rnacentral:rRNA from 1 species
UACGAAGGGGGCUAGCGUUGCUCGGAAUCACUGGGCGUAAAGCGCACGUAGGCGGAUCUUUAAGUCAGAGGUGAAAUCCCAAGGCUCAACCUUGGAACUGCCUUUGAUACUGGGGAUCUCGAGUCCGGAAGAGGUGAGUGGAACUGCGAGUGUAGAGGUGAAAUUCGUAGAUAUUCGCAAGAACAUCAGUGGCGAAGGCGGCUCACUGGUCCGGUACUGACGCUGAGGUGCGAAAGCGUGGGGAGCAAACAGG